rnacentral:rRNA from 1 species
UACGGAGGGAGCUAGCGUUGUUCGGAAUUACUGGGCGUAAAGCGCACGUAGGCGGCUUUGUAAGUUAGAGGUGAAAGCCCGGGGCUCAACUCCGGAAUUGCCUUUAAGACUGCAUCGCUCGAAUUGUGGAGAGGUAAGUGGAAUUCCGAGUGUAGAGGUGAAAUUCGUAGAUAUUGGGAAGAACACCGGUGGCGAAGGCGGCUCUCUGGACCGUAACUGACGCUGAGGCGCGAAAGCGUGGGGAGCAAACAGG